AAGAACAUUACAAUCAGAAGCAACAAGGCCAAAGUAAGAACAUUACAAUCAGAGGCAACAAGGCCAAGAGGAGUCUGGUUGGGAAUCAGAUUCAAAAAUAGCAUGGUUUAAAUUGUUUCUCAUCACCCAGCUGAGGGCUCCUCUGAAGGAUAAUGCUUCGGCAACUUUUUGAUCUGCUGGGCCUAGAAGAUCAAGUCGGCAUGCCUUGAUUAGAUCCCCCCUUAUAGUCUCUCAGGACCCAACCUGCUCUAAUCCUCUUUAGAUUGGACUUAAAAGCAGCAUCUGUGUUGCAUUUGAUAAAACCUUGAUUAGGCCUUCGCUAGGAAGUCCUAUCUAAAAGAUUGGGGGCAGAGUUGACCGAAGAGCUAGGCUGGGAGACGGCUUGAGCUGCUGUCCAUUGCUGGAGGAAAUGGGGAGAUAAAGCAAGGAGUUGAGUUGCAUUACUGCAAGAUUCCUUCCAUAAGACCUCGUUCCCAUGCUUCCAGAGGGACCACAAGAUCAUAAAAGCACGCUGGCGAUCCUGCACAGAGCACUGAUCAAAAAGGUCAUUUGCUGGAACUCGACUAACACGAGGAAUUGAUAAAGACCAGCAAUCUUGGGCAAGUUGACAUCGGAUGAAUUUGAAUCAUUUUCUUAUCAAUCUCAACAAAGAAAAGAAUGCCCUUGCUCUAAUUGGCGUUCAUGUCUCAGCUUUAGUGAAUUCUAUUA
rnacentral:misc_RNA from 1 species